rnacentral:rRNA from 1 species
GGGUGAGUAACACGUGGGCAACCUGCCCAAAAGAGGGGGAUAACACUUGGAAACAGAUGCUAAUACCGCAUAACAACAAAAGCCACAUGGCUUUUGCUUGAAAGAUGGCUUUGGCUAUCACUCUGGGAUGGACCUGCGGUGCAUUAGCUAGUUGGUAAGGUAAUGGCUUACCAAGGCGAUGAUGCAUAGCCGAGUUGAGAGACUGAUCGGCCACAAUGGAACUGAGACACGGUCCAUACUCCUACGGGAGGCAGCAGUAGGGAAUCUUCCACAAUGGCGCAAGCCUGAUGGAGCAACACCGCGUGAGUGAAGAAGGGUUUCGGCUCGUAAAGCUCUGUUGUUGGAGAAGAACGUGCGUGAGAGUAACCGUUCACGCAGUGACGGUAUCCAACCAGAAAGUCACGGCUAACUACGUGCCAGCAGCCGCGGUAAUACGUAGGUGGCAAGCGUUAUCCGGAUUUAUUGGGCGUAAAGCGAGCGCAGGCGGUUGCUUAGGUCUGAUGUGAAAGCCUUCGGCUUAACCGAAGAAGUGCAUCGGAAACCGGGCAACUUGAGUGCAGAAGAGGACAGUGGAACUCCAUGUGUAGCGGUGGAAUGCGUAGAUAUAUGGAAGAACACCAGUGGCGAAGGCGGCUGUCUGGUCUGCAACUGACGCUGAGGCUCGAAAGCAUGGGUAGCGAACAGGAUUAGAUACCCUGGUAGUCCAUGCCGUAAACGAU